GAUACAGUAUAUCCGGGCAUUCUUGGAGACAACAAAGGCCGCCAUUUUGGAAAUUGCAACAUUGAAUCGUUAUUGUUGGUUAAGAGUUAACAUGUAAAUGUGUCAAAGUGACAGUUAUCUCUUGAGCACGAAUAAUGUGAAUAUGUUCUUUUCCAAUAUAAGAAACGCAAUGGCACGAAUAGAAUUUUGAAUGGCGACACUGUUCACAAUGUAAUAGAUUGGUCGAUCGAGAUCGAUUCCUCGUCUUUGUUCAAUGUUUGAUUGAAAAGUUCAAUAAUUUGGACAAACUUGGACAUGAAGUAUGAGGGAAAUUACUAAAUAUUGUCUAGUGAUUUGGUAUGCAACAGUUGUAACAACUGCUUCUGCUUCAUUAUAUUGUGAAUAUUAUAAUGAAACACUUUGCAAUAGUAAUAGUCUUGGUCUAGGCUGUAAUGGAACUGAGGAAUGUAAACCUAAUGAGGACAUCAAAAAGAACUUGUGUUAUAUUUUAUGGCAAAACAGCAGUGAUGGACUUAGUAUUAAACUCAAAGGUUGUUGGGUUGGAAAUCAUCGUGAUUGUAGCAGUGAAACACCUUGCAUGGAGACUCGUAGAGAAUCAAAACUACAGUUAUUCUUUUGUUGUUGCGAAGGAGAUUUAUGUACAAGACAUAUGAAUCCAUCCUCCCUUAUUCUUUUAUCUUCAAUGACUGCAGCUGCUAAACCAAUAACAAGUAUACCCAUUAAGUUAACCAGCAGUGGUAGUCAAGUUAUUAGUAUUUUGAUGUGUACACUGAUUCCAUUUGUGGGGCUAACUCUAAUAACUGUUGUAGCUUAUUGGGUCUAUAGAAAUCAUAGAAUGUUAUAUUUUAAUGAAGUACCAACAGCUGAAUCAUUAGUAUCACCACUACCAUCACCAUUGUUGGGUUCUCAUCCAAUUCAGCUGAUAGAAGUCAAGGCCCAAGGAAGAUUUGGAUCUGUCUGGAAAGCACGUAUUCUAAAUGUAAAUGUGGCAGUAAAAAUAUUUCCUCCACAGGAUAAAAAUUCUUGGUUUGUGGAGCAAGAAAUUUAUAGAUUACCCCAAAUGAAACAUGAAAAUAUAUUGACAUGGAUGGGAGUAGAAAAGCAUGGAGAUAGUAUGCAUUCAGAAUAUUGGUUAAUUACAGCAUAUCAUGAGAAAGGUUCUCUUUGUGAUUAUUUAAAGGCGAAUCUUAUCACUUGGAAGGAACUUUUGAGUAUUGCCAUAUCUAUAGCAAAAGGUCUUACUCAUUUACAUGAAGAAUUACCCCCACGUAAAGGUGAAGGAUAUAAGCCAUCUAUUGCCCAUAGAGAUUUCAAGAGUAAAAAUGUACUAUUAAAACGAGAUAUGACUGCUUGUAUAGCAGACUUUGGUCUUGCUCUUGUAUUUUAUCAAGGCCAAUCACCAAGAGAUGCACAAGGACAGGUUGGUACACGACGUUACAUGGCUCCAGAAGUUUUAGAAGGAGCUGUAAAUUUUAACAAGGAUGCUUUUUUGAGAAUAGAUAUGUAUGCCUGUGGAUUAGUUCUGUGGGAAUUGAUAUCACGAUGUUGUGCCCAAGAAGGUCCAGUAGGCGAAUAUUUAUUACCAUUUGAAGAAGAAAUAGGACAGCAUCCUACACUUGAGGAUAUGCAAGAAGUGGUGGUUCAAAAGAAAUUUAGACCAAAAUUCAAUAAAGAUUGGAAAAAAUAUCCAGGAUUAGCAGCUGUCUGUGAUACAGCUGAAGAUUGUUGGGAUCAUGAUGCUGAAGCAAGAGUAUCUGCUAGUUGUGUAUUAGAAAGGCUUUCAUUAUUAACUAAGUCUCAGUCAUCAAUAUCUACCAAUAAUAUAUCUACAGUGCCAGAGCCACAAAGGAAUGCAUCUACCUCAAAUAUAAAAUCUUCAGCUCCAGUGUCAGAAAUUGAUACAGAAACACCACAAGAAUCUACUAUUUGAUUAAUUCUUCUAGAGAUUGUAAAGGAUUUUUUCAAAUCCUUUCAUUUCUCGACAACCCAUGUCAUAAAUUAAUUUUAAAAAUGUUGUAUGUACAAAGAACCUGUUCUGUGGAUGAUUAUUAGUCUGUCUUUGCAACAUUCCCCUCAUACAAGUAACCCAUUAAUCUUCCUGUGCCUUCUCAUCAUUUUGUAGUACAAGGAAAUUUUUUUAUCUCCCAGAGUACAAAGUAAGAAGUACAAAUAACAUAGAAGAGAAAAUUUGAAAUAAAUUUGGAAAGAAAUGGUAUCUUAUUGCAUUGAUUAUUGUAAUAGAAAUUAUUUUACAUACAGUAGAAUUUGUGUUUUAACAUAUUUUAAACAGUAAAGGCUGGUUUAUAGUCCUUGACAUUGUUCCAUCAUAUCCAUUGACUAUAUUCCAUUUUGUUAUAACAUUUGUAGUGUCAAUGGUCACAUUCCACAUUAUCAUUGGCUUGAUGCUGGACCUCAUAAUGGUCUAAUAGAAAGUUCAGUUCAAACUUGAUAUUCUUCUGUUGAUCAAGAACCAAUAGAAUUGUGAAAUGGUAUCACAUUCUGUAUUUGAUGUGAAGUACUCAAUUGGCUCAUCUCUUACAAAUGUAACGUGGAGAAUAUUUGAGAUUUGUAUGAUAAAUUGUACAACAAAUGCUGAAAAGAAUCAUGUAAUUUUAUAUAAAACUUGAAUUUAAAAGGGUAAAAAAAAAUAAACACUUGUAAAGUUUUUAUAUAUAUUACAAGUGAUUUGUUUCCUGGAGUAAUAGAUAAAAAUUAAGUAUAUAAAAUAGACCUAAUAAAUAAUUUCAUUAUGUCAAAUUUAUUUAUGAUAGAUAUUAUUCUGUUAUUACUGUUGUUUAUUUUAACAAAAAUAAAUAACAGUAAAUUUUGAAUAUAUCUACAUUUUGGAACAAGGAAUAUGUUUACAUCAUGUAUCGAAUUGCAAGUAUCAUGCAAGUAUCGAAUUGGACUACAAACUACAACUACUACAGAUUCAUAACUGUCAAAUAUUCUAUGAACUGUUGAACUACAACAGAACAUUGUUCAGGGAACUUCAGUACACCUUAGCAAAAUUGCAACAUCUAACAGAAGUGGAUUAUAAAUCAGUCUUAAUAUUCUGAUUUUAAUUCAAAAAAAUUUUAAUAUCUGAAUUUCUCUUCAUUAAUUUAGUCUUUCAUUUGCCAACAGAUAAUGGAUGUCACAAAAAUUUUCACUACUAAUUGCUAUCAUGUGAUAAAAUGAUUGGGAAAAAUAUAUCUAUAGAAAAACAAUUUAUGAAAUAAUCGAUUUAUUUAGAUCUUGAUAAAAUUAAUUUUGAAUUAGUCUUAAAUUUUAUUUUUAUUUUACCAUAUCAUUAUUUAAAUAUUUUAAUGAAACUUGUAUAAUUUUGAAAUAGUAACUUUCUUUUUCCUAGCUAUAUCAGUUCCGAAUGAAUGAAUGAAUAAAUAAACUAAUAAUACUUUUUAUUACAUUUUUAAGUUUAUGUUGAUUUAUAAAUACAGUAGAGCAUUGAUUAUCCAAAUACCGAUCAACCAAAACAUCAGUUAAAAGAAAACAUUCCAAUCGGCAAAUUCAAAUUUCUGCUAGUGCUGUGGCACUGCAGCAUUCUCUCCCUCCCUGCCAACUUAAACUAUAGUCCUACUUUAAUGUACUACUUUAUGUAAAGUAUGUAAGGUAUUUGUAAGACAUGUGAUACAAUAUAUAUACAGUACAGUUUUGUAUUUAAUAUAUUUUUUCAUAAAUGAUCAAUUAUCCUAACAACUCCAGUCCCAAAUUGUUUCAGAUAAUGCUCUACUGUAGUAAAUUUAUUUUAUGAUAUAAAAAUCAACAUCUUUAAUGCAUUGGCAAUUUAUAUGAUUUUUUACUAAUGUAAUCUUUCAUUAAUGAUGCAGUGAAACACAAAUUAAAAGUUUCAAAUUUAAUAUACAAUGGUGCCUUGUACUUUGAAUGCUAAAUUGAGAGAAAUUCAAUCUGGAAUUUGAAUGAUGCUUCUAUGUUUGAACUGUGUGUGCAGUGGAAAAAUGUUCUCUCUGCAUAAAAACAAUCUGUUUCAUGUGUAAGUCAUCUCUUGUUCUCAUUGUGAAAGCAUCUGUUGCAUUACUCAUGUUUUCAGUGCUUUUUUUCACUUUAUAUAUAACCAAACACA